GAAUGGUCUGUGUGAUUAAAGUUCGACUUACAAAGCGAAAAAUACAAACUUCUAGUGUAAGUUAACAUCUGAUUGAAAAUGAAACAUUUUUUUAUGCAGUCUGUGUGAGUCCCAGCCAGGGGAGGUGUGGCUAGGGCUGCAUUAGCAGAAACCAAAAAGUGAUUCAAGGGGCAGGGCCUGACCAGCAUGGCGACUAGACAUGUUUCUGGGGAGCUCCAUUGUACAAAUUGAACUUCUGAGCUAAUUCAGCAACUAUUCCUAAACCUGAUACUUACUCUUAGUCCUACGACAUGACAGAGAUUGGGGAACACAUCCUGCAGACCUCUUAAGCAAUCUAGUAGCCAAAGUACAAUGAGGCCUGGCAGGCGCUUUGUAGGGGAGAGAUGGCCGCACUCCCAGACAGGCGUUGGCAGAGCCCAAAGCGUGUUACUGAUGCCCCCCUACCCCCCCCUUUGGAUCGGUGGGGGUGAUCCCGGUCCCCACCUGGCAGGCUCUCGUGACCCACCGAGGAGCCACGGCAGUACCUCAGAAGCAGACAUUUCCGUCCAAGGUAUCCCUAAGAUGGCAGACACUGCGGAUGCCUUCAUCCAAGGAGGAGUGAUGUCCACUACUCUCCAGCACCUGGAUGCCCUCUUCAAAGCAUUUUGGGAGAAGCUAAGGGCAAAGCAGCCACUACCUGAGAUCGUGAUGAUUCCCACACGACCAGCCUGUCACACACCAAGCAGCCCAGCAGCAUGGGGUCCGCUACGCCUGAGACGGUAGAGGCCAUGUCCACGUGCCACAAAACAAGUUGCGCGCCGACAGCCAACGAGCAGACAUGCAGUGAGCCAUGGUGCUCCACAGCGAUACAGCUCCUGGAAACACACGAGCGACAAGUGGAGACCUGAGGAGAAGGGAGGAAAGCACCUACACAUGCUAGAUCAGCAGCUGACACCGCCGGUUCUGUGGGACAGUAAAUCCCCCAUAAUGGGAAUAGGCUGAAAUCCAAGUCAAGCAAUAUGCUACAUGCUAUAACUAUGGUAGCUGAAUGUUCGUUUAACGUGCUCUUUACUAAUCCUCUGUUGUCUUUCACUGACAAAAAAAAGUUUCAUUUCUAUUAAUCAAUUUAGCAUACCAUGGGUGCAGUCACAACUAUUGUAAGCUCUUAUUCAAUACAGAUGUCUCCCACCUGGGUCUGGAGCUGUAGGGUGGUAGAUGUGCAAAUUGAAUCUAUUAUUAUUUUCUGAAUAUUAGUUUUAGCUCUGCUCUAUCACUGCAGAUUUAGAUACUCAAGCUUAAUUCUGCAUUUCUGUCAAGCAUACUCUGC